rnacentral:lncRNA from 13 species
UCCUGAGUAGCUGGGAUUAUAGGCAUGCGCCACCACACCUAGCUAACUUUUUUAUUUUUAGUAGAGACGGGAUUUCACCAUGUUGGCCAGGCUGCUCUAGAAUUCCUGACCUAAGGUGAUCCACACGCCUGGGCCUCCCAAAGUGCUAGGAUUACAGGUGUGAGCCAGUGUACCCAGCUGAGAAAGGUGCUCUCUUCUUUGUCCUUCCCUGCCUCUGUUUACUUCCUAAGUGGCACCAUUUCUGCCCAAGUACACCAAACAUCAUUGUCUCUUUGAAGGUAAUUAAGAAGACUGUAUAAGAUGUCAUUAAGUUUUAUCACAAUUACACACAAGGACAGGCUAUUGGACACAACCAUCAAAGUACAUAUGUCCUAGAUUCUUAGGUGGCCAUGCAGCACAGUUCAGAGUCAGGCCAAAGCUCAGCUGACUAUAGGAAGGCCUCACCUUCCUUUUGAUGCGGUUACAAGAUAGUUCAUUUGCAAUCUUGCAGAAAGAGCUUUGAAGAAAAGCACUGUAAGCUGUGUGGUUGUAAUUGGAUUUAAGUACUGUUGAAUAUAAUAUAAAAGUGACGCACCCUUCUAAUAAUUAAAGUUGUCAUCUCCAGGUUUUAUUCAACGUUUGAAUCAUGCUCAAACUUGCAGACUUGACUUAGAGCUUAGUGCUUCAUCUCCAAAGGAAGCUGGCCGUGGAGUAUAACAGGAAAUCUAGUAAGCAAUCUGGAGUUUUCCUCUAGAAAGUGCUGUGGUCUCAAAGUACAGUCCUGGUAUCUGGACACAACGCCACAAAGGUUGCGGCACAGAGGCGCUAAACCCCAUACUCUGAUGGUGUAGGACAUUGCUUCCAAAGAGAUAGCAGUUUCCGUAGAGCUGAAUCUACUGGAGCACAUAUUAAUCUCUUUUUAUUCUAGGAGGAAGAGAAUCACAUCACAGAAAAGUCAUGAAAUGAUUGAAAUGUUCUUUUCUGUUCUCCCAAAGCAUCAUUAAAUGUAUGUUGAACCUCAUCAUAUAAUCUGAUUAACACGUGUGCUUGAGAUGAUCCAUUAUAAUGAUGACAAUGGGAAUUUCCAAAGAACACUUAUUCUGUGCCUCGAACGGUGCUAGCCACUUGCCAUGAAUCAUUUCCUUUAAUCUUCUCAGGAAUUUGGUUGAGAACAUUGAGACGCUGAUUU